rnacentral:rRNA from 1 species
UACGGGGGGAGCAAGCGUUGUUCGGAUUUACUGGGCGUAAAGGGCGCGUAGGCGGCCACUGCAAGUCAGUUGUGAAAUCUCCGGGCUUAACCCGGAGCGGUCAAGUGAUACUGUCGUGCUAGAGUGCGGAAGGGGCUACUGGAAUUCUCGGUGUAGCGGUGAAAUGCGUAGAUAUCGAGAGGAACACCUGCGGCGAAGGCGGGUAGCUGGGCCGACACUGACGCUGAUGCGCGAAAGCCAGGGGAGCGAAGCGGG